CCUGUGCAAUGACUUUUUCUGCACAGGCAGAGCUUGAUUUUCUUGCCCAGGUGGUGCGUGUUUCCUGUCUCUCCAGGAGCUUCACCCAGACUGUUUCUACCCGAGAAUUCACACUGGGGGGGAAUCGGCAUGGAGGCAACUCCAGCCGUGCCCCUCUUCUCGGGCCCCUACCCUUGAAUGCCUCGCGUUCUUCUUUCUAGGGGGACAGGCUCACUUCCUGACCGAAUGGAUGAGAUUUCCUUCCGGAGGAUGCUCGGAAGGGCACCCUUUACCCUUCGCAGGAAAGGAAGCCUUGGGAAUGUGGAACAGAAAGACCGUAAAUAAAGUUUUUACAUGUAAUUCUGUAAAAGGCCUGGCAGAGAGGGUCAGGAGGAGUUCCUUACCUCGAAGAUAAAGAUGCAGCACAGAAAUGUGCUCUUUUACCUUCCUCUCUAUCCUGAAAGGGCUAGUUUUCUGGUAACUCAAAAUCGUCUUGCCUCUUCAAUGUGUGCCAAUAAAUAAAUCACAAAUAAAUAAA